rnacentral:sRNA from 1 species
CCGUGGAGGAUUUGCUUGCUUUUGCAAACCAUAUAUCCAACACUGCAAAGCAUUUUUAUGGACAACGACCACAGGAAUCUGGAAUUUUAUUAAACAUGGUCAUCACUCCCCAAAAUGGACGUUACCAAAUAGAUUCCGAUGUUCUCCUGAUCCCUUGGAAGCUGACUUACAGGAAUAUUGGUUCUGAUUUUAUUCCUCGGGGAGCCUUUGGAAAGGUAUACUUGGCACAAGAUAUAAAGACGAAGAAAAGAAUGGCGUGUAAACUGAUCCCAGUAGAUCAAUUUAAGCCAUCUGAUGUGGAAAUCCAGGCUUGCUUCCGGCACGAGAACAUCGCAGAGCUGUAUGGCGCAGUCCUGUGGGGUGAAACCGUCCAUCUCUUUAUGGAAGCAGGCGAGGGAGGGUCUGUUCUGGAGAAACUGGAGAGCUGUGGACCAAUGAGAGAAUUUGAAAUUAUUUGGGUGACAAAGCAUGUUCUCAAGGGACUCGAUUUUCUGCACUCAAAGAAAGUGAUCCAUCAUGAUAUUAAACGUAAGUAUCUUUGGACAUAUACCUUUUUGGCUCAAAAAGACUAGUUAUUCAGGAGACAAACAAGCUCCUUCCUGUAAUCCGAAGACCCUCCAUGGAGGGUGGAAAGCUGCCUCAGAGCA